GUGGGGAAUAUUGGACAAUGGGCGGAAGCCUGAUCCAGCAACGCCGCGUGAGGGAUGACGGCCUUCGGGUUGUAAACCUCUUUCAGUGAGGACGAAGGGUUUCUGACGGUACUCACAGAAGAAGGACCGGCCAACUACGUGCCAGCAGCCGCGGUAAUACGUAGGGUCCGAGCGUUGUCCGGAAUUAUUGGGCGUAAAGGGCUCGUAGGCGGUUUGUCGCGUCGGGAGUGAAAACAGCCAGCUUAACUGGUUGCUUGCUUUCGAUACGGGCAGACUAGAGGUAUGCAGGGGAGAAUGGAAUUCCUGGUGUAGCGGUGAAAUGCGCAGAUAUCAGGAGGAACACCGGUGGCGAAGGCGGUUCUCUGGGCAUUACCUGACGCUGAGGAGCGAAAGUGUGGGGAGCGA
rnacentral:rRNA from 1 species